GGGUUGGUAGCCUAAUGUAGGGCGGCGGACUUUUAAUUCGUAGGUGUAGUUUAAAAAGCUUCUCAACCCU
rnacentral:tRNA from 1 species